rnacentral:lncRNA from 1 species
UUUGUAUGAUAAUAAUUUUGUUGGUCAUUUACCUCAUAAUAUUUGUGUCGGUGGGAAGUUGGAAAAAUUCUCUGCUGCUCUUAACCAGUUCACAGGCCUAGUUCCAGAGAGUUUGAAGAAUUGCUCAAGCCUUAAGAGACUGAGGCUUGAACAAAACCAACUGACUGGAAAUAUAACAAAUAGUUUUGGUGUGUAUCCAAACUUGGACUACAUGGAAUUGAGUGAUAAUAAUUUGUAUGGUCAAAUUUCUCCAAAUUGGGGAAAGUGCAAGAAUCUCACAAGCCUUAAAAUCUCCAACAAUAAUUUGACAGGAAGCAUACCACCAGAACUAGGCAGAGCAACAAAUUUACAUGAACUUAACUUGUCUUCAAACCAUCUUACGGGGAAAAUUCCAAAGGAGCUAGAAAACUUAUCUUUGUUGAUCAAACUCUCGUUAAGUAACAAUCAUCUUUCUGGAGAAGUUCCUGAACAAAUUGAAUCAUUGCACGAAUUAACUGCAUUGGAGCUUGCAGCAAAUAAUUUCAGUGGCUUCAUCCCUGAAAAACUUGGUAUGUUGUCUAGGUUAUUGAAGUUAAAUUUGAGCCAAAAUAAGUUUGAGGGGAACAUUCCUGUUGAGUUUGGCCAAUUGAAUGUUAUUGAAAAUCUUGAUCUUAGUGGGAAUUCUAUGAAUGGAACCAUACCAGCAAUGCUUGGCCAGUUAAAUCACUUAGAAACAUUGAAUCUCUCACAUAACAAUCUCUCUGGUACCAUUCCCUCAAGCUUUGUUGAUAUGUUAAGCUUGACAACUGUUGAUGUAUCUUACAACCAGUUGGAGGGUCCGACUCCAAACAUUACAGCUUUCGGAAGAGCUCCAAUUGAAGCAUUGACAAAUAACAAGGGCUUGUGUGGUAAUAUCUCUGGCCUAGAGCCUUGCUCAAUAUCUGGUGGCAAGUUUCAUAAUCAUAAGACAAACAAAAUUUGGGUGCUAGUUCUAUCACUCACUCUAGGUCCUCUACUGUUAGCAUUAAUUGUUUAUGGGAUCUCAUACUUUUUUUGUCGAACUUCAAGCACAGAAGAAUACAAGCCUGCACAAGAAUUUCAAAUUGAAAAUCUAUUUGAAAUAUGGAGCUUUGAUGGCAAAAUGGUGUAUGAGAACAUAAUCGAAGCCACGGAAGAUUUUGACAACAAACAUCUCAUUGGGGUUGGAGGACAUGCAAGUGUUUACAAAGCAGAGUUGCCUUCAGGUCAAGUUGUAGCUGUGAAGAAACUUCAUUUAUUACAAAAUGAAGAAAUGUCUAAUAUGAAAGCUUUCACAAAUGAGAUUCAUGCUUUGACAGAAAUUCGACAUCGCAACAUUGUGAAGUUAUACGGGUUUUGUUUACAUCGACUACACUCAUUUUUGGUUUAUGAAUUCUUGGAGAAGGGUAGUGUGGACAUCAUUUUGAAGGACAAUGAACAAGCUGCUGAAUUUGAUUGGAAUAAGAGGGUGAAUAUUAUUAAAGAUAUAGCUAAUGCCUUAUGCUAUCUGCAUCAUGAUUGUUCCCCUCCUAUAGUUCAUCGAGAUAUAUCCAGCAAGAAUGUUAUUUUGGAUUUGGAAUAUGUAGCUCAUGUCUCAGAUUUUGGAACAUCUAAGUUUCUAAAUCCCAAUUCAUCCAAUAUGACUUCUUUUGCAGGCACCUUUGGAUAUGCUGCUCCAGGUCAGUCCCUUUUUUUUUUUUUUUUGUCUAUAUUAAUUAAUUAAGGUUAGAAUAUAGUUUAUCAUUAGUAGUUACAUGUAAAAUAGAAUUAUUUCACAAUUGUCUAAUCUACAUUUCAUGUUUUGUUUAUGAAAUUCUUUUGCAGACAAAGGCUAAAGCCAACCUCGAUACAAAUAAAAAACACAAUUCCCCGACUGCAUUUUCUGAAAAGAAUUGAAGGUUUUUCAAUAAAGAUCACACAAUUUCUGUUACCAACACAGAAACCCGAAGCAGAAGCUGAUAGAAUUAAUUUCGUUAAGAAUAAGAAAGGACAAAAGUUGAUAAUCGUAUCCAAACUUCAAAAUAAUUCACGAUUCAAGUCAUCAAUCAAAAUGACAACAGUGACUGGCUACACAAAGCUCAAGUGUUCAACCCCUAAAAAAUCAUAAUCUAUAAUAAUAAAUCGAGAUUCAUCAGAAUAAAGUAAGGUUCAUGUUACGGCUCAACAAUCGGACAGAAAGAAUUGAGAUCCAUGCUGUGAUUCAUAUCAAAUUAGAUACGCGCAAUUUGCAUAGGUUAGGUUCAUUUUUGUUUCAAACCGAGAUACGACUAGAAUGUAUUGUAAAAUAUUUAUAAACAAGGUUAUGAUGAUAGAUCAGAUAAUCUAGUACUAGUGCUGUCAAAAUGAAUUUUGGCUUGAUGUCUUCUCUCAUUCUAUAUUCCUUUAUAAAUAGUACAGACUCAGUAGCUACAAUUAGUAACUUCCUAAAUUAUACAAAAUAUAUAGGAAACUAAUGAUGACAGAUCCCCUUAUUGACAAGUACAAGUUGUAGAACAAGAUAAGAGGUGAAUAUAUAUAACUACUACAGUGUGGGUUACAUCUUUGAGUUCAAAAAAAGGGACCAUUAACAGAAUGCAAAUUCUUUUGUUGAUGACAAUAUAAAAUAUAAAUAAAUAAUCAAAAUCCAACCAAAUGUUCUCAAUCCAAUCAUAAUGUAGCUGUAAAUAUGUGAUGUGUAGUAAAAAGAAGAUAAUUACCUCUCCCAUAGCAAAAAUAUUGUAUACUAAAUCAAAUGAUCUGAUCCAUUUUCACCAAUACCCUUUGCACGAGCAAGAUCCAUUUUUGAAAUGAUGGAAGCGCCUUGAGUCUCUGAGUAUGACCUCAUGUUCAACAAUCAUGGAUAUGUAGGAUAUGGCACUAUGGCAAUCACCACAGAUGCGUAAAUUCUUAGUGAUUCGAAUAGGUGCACCUGGGGGUAGUGUUAGGAUGCAUAGGCAAGAGCCAACUUCUCACUGUGUUCUAAAAGCUGGUCACCCUUUUCUUCAUCAUCCACAUCAUGAAGAGCAAAGUUUGUCUGUGGAACAUACCCAAUGGCCUUAAUGCGCUGAAUCAAAUCUGCCAGUGUUUCAUAUAUCUUCUGAGAUUGUGAGUGAGUUCUGUCUCCCACAUAAAAGGUUUCCAUACCUUUCCUUCCUUGGACCCAGCUCCAACCAGGUCUUUUCUUGAUUCCAGUACGUUUCAUCAAAUAUCUAAUUCUCGCCACAUCUUUCCAGCGUCUGGCAUUAGCAUAUAUAUUUGAAAGCAAUGUAUAUGUCCCAUCAUUGUCGGCCUUCAAUUCUAACAGUUUUUUCGCCGCGAAUUCUGCAAGUUCUACAUUUGAGUGUGUCCUACAAGCACUAAGCAAGGCAAUCCACACUACUGGUGUUGGUUCCAUCGACAUAUCAUUAAUGAGUCUCGUAGCUUCACAUAGACGACCGGCUCGACCGAAAAGAUCAGCCAUACAAGCAUAAUGCUCUACUCCAGGAUCAACUACAAAAUCCUUGCUCAUUCUAUAAAACAAAUCGAUUCCACGAUCCACCAUUCCCGAAUGACUACAAGCAUAAAGCACAACAAGAAAGGUUAUGCCAUCAAGCACUAGAGCCUCUUUCCUCAUCUCAUCAAAAACACGGAAAGCAUCUUCGCUGCACCCAUGCAUGCCAUACCCGGUGAGUAGCGAGGUCCAAGAGAUGGCAUUUCUCUUUGACAUGCUGUCGAAAACUACUUGGGCAGUAUCUACAUCUCCGGAUUUGGAAUACAUGUCUAUGAGACAAUUAGCCACAAACAGAACAUCUGAAUCAAUACGACUUCUACGCAACACAUAAGCAUGAAUCUGCUUACCAAACCUCAAUGCUGCCAAACGAGCACAAGCCAUGAGUACACAAGAUAUGGUAAAAUCAUUAGGAACUAUACAGUUAUCAAAUUUAAACAUUUCAGAGAAAAGUUGCAGGGCGUGAUUUGCAUCUCCAUACUGAGCAUAACCUCCAAUCAUCACAGUCCAAGUCACCACAUCCCUAUCUUUGGGACAUAUUUCAUCAAACAUCGCACGAGCCACUUCUAAACUCUUGCAUUUAGCAUACAUAUCAAUUAGAGCAUUAAUCCCCGCCAAAUCAUCAUUAUCAUCAUUAUGCUCCCCCUUGAGAAUAAAUUUAAUUGAAUAACAAUGAGUUUCUUUUCCAUGAAGCAAAGCUCCAACAGACGCACAACCAGAAAGCAACGACAUGAGCGUAACCACAUUAGGACGACAACUACAUCCACACAUUUGCCGAAACACAUCCAUUGCUUCACAACCAAACCCUCUCUGAGCAUACCCAGAAAUAACAGAACUCCAAGUAACAACAUCCAACUCAAUUCUCUCUUCCCUCAUUUUCCCAAACAAAGAAAGUGCAUCCUCAAAUCUACCAUUUUGAGAAUACCCGGUAACCAUAGCAUUCCAAGUAACAACAUCCUUAAACCGCAUCCUCUCAUAAACCUUACUAGCGUCUUCCAUUUUCCCACAUUUUGCAUACAUAUCAACCAAAGCAUUCCCAACAAAAAAUCCUCAACCAAACCAGUUAUAACACAUAAACCAUGAACUUGUUUCCCACAUAACCCCAAACCAAGAAAACCACUAACAGGAAGUAUAUUAACAACACCAACAGUAUCCGGCAAAAUCCCAUACCCAACCGUCAUUUCCCUAAAAAGAAAAACAGCAUCAUUUGGAACAAAACAAUGCGAAUAAACAGAAACAAUCGAAUUCUACGACACCGAAAUAAGAGGAGACCAUGUAUAAUGUAUUGUUGAUGAAGUAGUUUUGCUUGGAUUAUAGAUUUGCAUUGCUGUUUUGAAAUUUACGAAGAAGAAUGAUAUAAGAGGAGAUUAUGUGUAUUGAUAAGUAGUGGUGGUUUUGAGUUGAACGGAGGGAAACGUGAGAGCAUGCUAGCUUUUUCAUAAAAAGCCAGAUCAUAAAGUUUUUUCAAUGCUGUUGUUACUUGAAUUCAUUUAUCACUUUUUUCAUUAUGGACAAAACUAAGUACAAGCCUUGCAAGUAAGCUGCUACUAUUGAAGACUUGUGAAGCAAGCUUCCCAUUCUCUCCUUCAACUUUCUGUACAACCAUUCAAUGCAUUGGUUGAUGUGUAUACAGUUGAAAAGCACUAAUGUUGUAACCAAAACUCCAAAUGUUUCAAUUAUCACCGAAUUUCUUUAAAAGGUAAUUUGCAAUCCUUCAUUUGCAGAUUCUUGAAGUUUCUAUUUGCUAGCAUGUACUACAUGGCGUAUUUAAUGAAAUAGACAAAUAGUUAAAUUUGGUGCUACAAACUUGUUCAAAAUGAAUGAGUGAUCAACACAUUGUCGAUUCAUUUUGUAGGUGUGAUGUUUUUAGUUAUGGGGUCAUCUUAUGGGAGCUCUUUACCAAGCAGGAACCCUGGAAAGAAGUGUAUCUAUAUCGAGUUAUUUAUCAUGUUGGUGAGGAGGAUGGCCGUCUGGACAUUCCAGACAUUAUGGCCCCUGAUAUUACUAAUAUUAUUAGACAAUGUUUGAAGAAUCAAGUGUAAUCUUUUAGGUGCAGAGCAUUUUAAUAUUUAUAUGGUGUAUGUAAUGCACUUAUCGUGUCCUACAUUAAAAUGUUUUGCCACUAAAAGUAAAUGCAAUUACUCAAAAUAGAAUGUGAAAUAAUGAGAGUUCCAUAAAUAUAUUGUUAGCAAUCUGCAGUUAAUAGCAUCUGGAAGUAAGUUGCAAGGAAAAUAAAGUUCAAUCCACCUACUAUUUAAUUUUCUUUUAUUUGUUUCAUUAUCAUACUUGUAAAUUUAAUUUUCUUAAUCUUUAUUAUUCACUGUAUCAGGAUUUAUGGGCAAAAAGAAGAAGAUAAGAACCUUCUCAAGGAUUUCAAGCAUUCGAGACCUGGAAUAUCUAUCAGUUUCUCGCAAUUAGUAAGUUUCAACUCCUCCAAACUCUCUACAUUGGACAGCAUCCUCUCUAGUGUACUGCCAUAUUAAUCAGUCAGACCAAAUUCUACCACAUUUUCCAACAUAUUUUCAUGAGUGUAAUUGGAACUUCAUCUCUAAACAUAUAGUAUACAAAAGUAACGGUAAAAAAUUACAAUCAAAGAAGCCAAUGACUUUUUGCUGAUCAUUAAAUCAUACUGGUUUUUGACUGGAUCUCAAAGAAGCCUUUUAUUGACAUAUCAAAGUAUUCACAAAAUGGGUUGUUAAGGUAAGGAACAUUGCCAUUGUUUUGUUGAUGAAGUGGUUAACGGAUACACCCAACAUAAUAAUUGAAAAAGACCUAGUACCCGGACAGGAAAGCCGUAAAAGAUUACAAUAUGAUGCAUGAAACCAAUACGAAACAUAAUGUUAACUAAAUGGAAAAUCUACAUUAUAAGCUUGGAAACAAUGCAACAACCCGUGAACAACAGCAGAAAAAUGUAGCACAAAAAUCUAGAUUUAAUUCAUACUCUAAGAGAAGUAAAAAAUAUAGUACAAAUUGUUUGUGAAGUUUACUUUGAAAAAUGUUAAAUAAAAAAUGGAAUGUACUUCAGCUAAAUGAUAUGGCAACUAUGAGGUACGUGAAUCUCCUCAAGUAGAUAAGUUAGUCCUUGAACUGCACCAAUCAUAAGAAUUGCAGUCUUCCAAUUCCAGAAUUGCUGCAGAUAAGUGCAGUAGACUGUGAAUGGUAAGAAACAUAUAUUGGUGAAAUCACUGUCAAUGGAGAGAUAAGAUAAGUCUUUCAAUGAAUUAGAUUUUUUUUUUUCUUUUUUUGUGGCCCCUAUUACUCCAACCUCAUGUUUCUGAUCAAAACCACAAUAAUAAGUCUAAGUCUUCACCUUAAAGACAAAAGUGAAAGACUUUAAUGAGCUAAGUCUUCACUAUUACAAGUGGGAAUAUCAAUUACAAUGCAUUAUAAAUAUCACCUAAAUCUCCCAUUGUAAUGCAUUCAUCAUGAUACAAGUGUCUAGUUCAAUUAUAUAUAUCUCAGUGAUUGCCAAUAAUUUCAUUGUGUUGAAAUUUCCAAAAUACUUCAAAGAAUGAAGCUCUUACCAAUGUCAUGUCUUAUUUUGUUCUUCUAAGUGUUUGUAAUUGCAACAUCACCUCAUGCUGCAACAAAAAUCCAAGGUAGCGAGGCUGAUGCUCUAUUGAAGUGGAAAACAAGCCUUGACAACCAUAGCAGGGCAUUUCUCUCUUCAUGGAUUGGUAAUAAUCCUUGUGGUUGGGAAGGAAUCACGUGUGAUUAUGAAUCGAAGUCCAUCAACAAGGUAAAUCUCACCAAUAUUGGAUUAAACGGUACUCUUCAAAGUCUCAAUUUCUCAUCACUUCCGAAAAUACACACCUUAGUUUUAACAAACAACUCCUUGUAUGGAGUUAUUCCACACCAUAUUGGAGAGAUGUCUAGUCUGAAAACUCUUAAUUUGUCGAUUAACAAUCUCUUUGGGUCAAUCCCACCAUCCAUAGGUAAUUUGAUUAAUUUGGAUAGUAUUGACCUUUCACAAAAUAAUCUCUCUGGACCAAUUCCUUUCACUAUCGGAAAUUUAACCAAACUAAGUGAAUUGUAUUUUUAUUCAAAUGCUCUCUCCGGAGAAAUUCCACCUUCCAUAGGUAACUUGAUCAAUUUGGAUCUUAUUCACCUAUCAAGAAAUCAUCUCUCUGGACCAAUUCCUUCCACCAUCGGAAAUUUAACAAAACUCGGUACAUUAUCUCUUUUCUCAAAUGCUCUUGCUGGACAAAUUCCACCUUCCAUAGGAAAUUUGAUAAAUUUGGAUACUAUUUACCUUUCAAAAAAUCAUCUCUCUGGACCAAUUCUUUCCAUCAUCGGAAAUUUAACAAAAUUGAGUAAAUUAACUCUUGGCGUAAAUGCUCUCACCGGACAAAUUCCACCUUCCAUAGGUAAUUUGAUUAAUUUGGAUUACAUUUCCCUUUCACAAAAUAAUCUCUCUGGACCAAUUCCAUCCACUAUCGGAAAUUUGACAAAACUUAGCGAAUUACAUCUUUCAUUUAAUUCUCUCACUGAGAAUAUUCCAACAGAAAUGAAUAGGCUUACCGAUUUGGAAGCACUCCAUUUAGAUGUUAAUAAUUUUGUUGGUCAUUUACCUCACAAUAUUUGUGUCGGUGGGAAGAUAAAAAAAUUCACUGCUGGACUUAACCAGUUCACUGGCUUAGUUCCAGAGAGUUUGAAGAAUUGCUUAAGCCUUAAAAGAGUGAGGCUUGAUCAAAACCAACUGACUGGAAAUAUAACAAAUAGUUUUGGUGUGUAUCCAAACUUGUACUACAUGGACUUGAAUGAUAAUAAUUUUUAUGGUCAUCUUUCUCCAAAUUGGGGAAAGUGCAAGAAUCUCACAAGCCUUAAAAUCUCUGGUAAUAAUUUAACAGGAAGAAUACCACCAGAGCUAGGCAGCGCAACAAAUUUACAGGAGCUUAACUUGUCUUCAAACCAUCUAACGGGAAAAAUUCCAAAGGAGCUAGAAAACUUAUCUUUGUUGAUCAAACUCUCGUUAAGUAACAAUCAC